AACGCGAAGAACCUUACCUGGGCUCGAACGGCUUCUCAACGGCGUUAGAAAUAGCGCUACCCCGCAAGGGGGUGGAGUCGAGGUGCUGCAUGGCUGUCGUCAGCUCGUGUCGUGAGAUGUUGGGUUAAGUCCCGCAACGAGCGCAACCCUUGUCCUGUGUUGCCAUGCCGCAAGGCGGCACUCGCAGGAGACCGCCAGCGAUAAGCUGGAGGAAGGUGGGGAUGACGUCAAGUCCUCAUGGCCUUUAUGUCCAGGGCUACACACGUGCUACAAUGGCCGGUACAAAGCGUCGCUAACCCGCGAGGGGGAGCCAAUCGCAAAAAACCGGUCUCAGUUCGGAUUGCAGGCUGCAACUCGCCUGCAUGAAGCUGGAAUCGCUAGUAAUGGCAGAUCAGCACGCUGCCGUGAAUACGUUCCCGGGCCUUGUA
rnacentral:rRNA from 1 species